rnacentral:rRNA from 1 species
UACGUAGGUGGCAAGCGUUAUCCGGAUUUAUUGGGUGUAAAGGGUGCGUAGACGGGAUAACAAGUUGGUUGUGAAACCCCUCGGCUCAACUGAGGAACUGCAACCAAAACUAUUAUUCUUGAGUGCAGGAGAGGAAAGUGGAAUUCCUAGUGUAGCGGUGAAAUGCGUAGAUAUUAGGAAGAACACCGGUGGCGAAGGCGACUUUCUGGACUGUAACUGACGUUGAGGCACGAAAGUGUGGGGAGCAAACAGG